CAACCCAGUUUCUUGUGGUCCACGAAGGUAGUGAUGGCUUCCAGCGGAAAUUUCUGCAGGCAGCGGCCGCAGGAAGCGCUCCAGCGCUUCGGGCUGGAGCGGCCGCGUUUCGGGUUCGGUCUUCACAUCGAUGACCAGCUCCGACAUCUCCAGCUCCGACGUCUCCAUCUCGUCGUCUGAGCUGGCGGCGGGCGCGGGGUCCACCCGGCGGGGCGUGCUGCCCGCCUUGCGGCGGGACAUGAGGCACGGGGCCGGACGGGCAGGCGUGCCUGGCGGGCGGAGGACGUGCGCGAGCGGAGGCGGCAGAGGCGCUGGGCAGGCAGCGAGCGUCCUGACCGUGGCGCUCAGUUCACGGCGCAGGGGGCGGUGCCUGAUCCCAUCGGAAGGCUGAGGCUAGUGAGCUUAACGUGGUCCCGCGGCGUCCCUUCCCCUGGAGGGGACAGAAGCUGCAGAGACAGGAUCAAGGGGAACACCAGCAUCGCUCUCCAAGUGUCUUGGGUUGAUUCAUUGAUUGAUAUUCACUUUUCCUGAGAGAGACACAGCCCUCCCAUCCACUGCUCCAGUCCACAAAUGCCCCUACCCCCCCGACCCCUGCAGGUCCAGGCUGAAGCCAGGGGCCAGGGCAGGAGCUCCAUUCCGACCUCUGCACCGCGAGAAAUUGAGUCCUCUCACCUGCUGCCUCCCAAGGCUGACAGCAGCAGGAAGCUGGCAUUACAAGCAGAGCUGGGGCCAGAACUCAGACAGGUCUUUGGUUUAGCUGACACUGGGGCCUGGUGGGGAGGGGGCAUUGAGCAGGGGGGUUGUUGUGAGCCACACAUCUCAUAGGAAAUGGGAUUUAAAAGUAAGCUUGUUUUGGUGCAAAAUAAAAAAUCCAUCAUGUUUACAAUCUUUGCAAUCCAUGCAUAAUCACAGACACCCUCCUCUGUUUCUGCACCUGGAAUUGCUUUAAAAUCCCAAAGAUAUUGGGGGGCCG